rnacentral:lncRNA from 1 species
AAGGAGAUGGAUUUGGCAGUAGGAUCUGGAAAGUUUGGCGCGGUGGCAAUCUGCGAGAUGUAGGAUCUGGCUAAGUACGGGCCAGUUUCCCUCCAGUCCUAUAAGGCUCUCUCUCGGAGCUUGGAAGUUUUCAUGCUCCAGGCAGCUUUUGACUGGUUGUGGUGGCAUCAUAAAUGAGUUUCCAUAGUAAGUUGUAUGCGGAAAAAGGAAAUUAAAUUCCGAGAGGGUGUUUUGUUGUGACUGAUGCCAGAAUUUCUCUGAGAAUUUUAUUAAGAUUCAGUCAGUCUAUAAAAGUACUUUUUAGUUCUCUGAAGAUAUUAAUUAAAAAAUGGUUAAAAAAAAAAAAAAAGCCAGAAGUGUCUCCUUUGUGAGCUUUUGAAAUGUAAUCUUCCUAAAUCUUUGGGGGAAAAAAAUGAAGUCUAAAAAAAAACCACAGAGCUGUAUGUUUUAAGAGCAGUUCCUUCAAAGUAAUGUUUUCCUUCUCUUCCUGUCCUUUCUCCUCCUCUCACAUUAUUUUUUUACGUUUAUGACCUUUUUUUUUUUUUGCUUUUUAGGGCCGCACGCAUGGCAUGUGGAGGUUCCCAGCCUAGGGGUCUAAUCAGAGCUGCAGCUGCCCGUCUACACCACAGCCACGCCAGACCUACACUGCAGCUCAUGGCAAAGCUGGAUCCUUAACCCACUGAGCGAGGCCAGUGAUCAAACCUGCAACCUCCUGGUUCCUAAUUGGAUUCAUUUCUGCUGCGCCACAACGGGAACUCCAAUUUUUUUUUUUUUUGAUGUUGAAUGUGCCUUCUUUUCUCCUGAGUUUACUCAUCUUCUUUCAUCAAGAAGGGGGAGCACGGUGAGGCAGUGAAGAGCACGGGGUCCGGAGCCAGGCUGGGGACAGCAAGGGUCAUGGUGGUUCUUGGAGAGCCGGGCUCUCCUCUGCUUGGAUUCACCACCCCUACCCCAGAGGCUCUUGAGGGCAAUUAUUAUUCUGUCACACCGAUGAGGGAACGGGCACAGAAGUGCCUGUGUCCACACAGCCAGUGAGGGGGUGGCCUUGGUGGCAGCUGUGAUCCCUGUGACUCCACCGCAGGGCUAGGCAGAGGUCCUGCUCCCCUGCCAGGGUGGGCUCCGUCCUAUAGGCAGGGGCUUCGUUAAGUGAGAGGGUCAGGACUGUGGUUUUGAAAGGUGGCCUCAUGGGCAGUGUGCAGUAUGACAUGAGCAGCACGGAAAUGGGCAUGAGACAGGACGGGGGCUUGAACUGAAGCCGGCGGCAGUGGUGACAGAGCAAAGGGGACAGGUUGGCAUGGGUGCUGCUCAGUCCUCUGGAUUGGGGCCCAGAGAGGGAGGAGGUGAGUCUGGGAGCACUUUCCUCUCCUCAGCCUUCCCUACUGCUGGUUUUCAUGCCCGCAGGCUGGGUGGUUAUUGGAGAUACUCUGUGUAGACUGAAAGCAGUCUCUUUAGGAAUCAAGGUCACCUCCUUUGUGCCCUGUGACAGCCAGAGAAAGGUGCCUGUGCAAAACCCCAAAGCGUCUUCCCCGGUCUUUGCCCACCUGCUCUGGCCUUAUCGUUUGCCCCUUUCCUGGAGCAUCUCAGGAUGGAAUUCAGGUUCUCAGACCCCAGUUAGGGAAAUACCGGUUUGAACAUUCAAACUUAAACUGAAAGUAUUGAAAGGAAAAAGCCCCUAAAGAAGGAAGCCUCUCUGGGGUGUAGGGGGUGCCCCACCGUUCCCCAGUGGACCCCCCCAGGGGCUGUGGUCCUCAGUUCUGGCUGUUCCCCAAGGGCUGAGCUGCCUCUAGGCAGGGGCUGGGGUGACUUGUGGUCACCAGGCAUGACGGGCUGGUGGGGGAAGGGGGAGGCGCGAGCUGGUGGCCUGCCUGGCCAGGAGGUGAGACCACCCUCCCCUGAAGGGUGCAGCUUCCGUGGAGAGCCGGCUCUACUCAGCAGCACCAGAGUCAGAGCAAGGGGAUGUGGUUGGUCCCUGGUUGCUAGUAUGCACGCGUCCCCAUAAUAGGCUGCGCUCAUGCCAUGUCAGGAAUGUGCUGGUCCUGUGCCCUCUCCCCUGGUCAGUGCCAGAGUCCCUAAUAAACUUUCCCAGGCCUCGGUCUUCCAGACCGCAUAGUGCCCAGAUUCGUCAGAGAGUUUGUUCUUGCUGGGCUCCAGCCAGUUGGUCGGGUCCAGCUCUGCUUGGGCCGUGACCUCCUUGCGAGGAGGCCAAGAGUCACUUUAUCGGCCUGCCCGCUUCCCGCAUCCACAGGCACAGCCAACUCUGCAGUGAGUCGGUGUACAUGACUCUGUUCCCCCACUGUUUGAUGGUCACCCCUUUCCCUCCAAGAUGUGACUUCCUUUCCGUGUCCCAAGGGUGGCCCCCAGCCAGGGACCGUUCAAGUGCCCAUUGAGUUUGGCGCCUAACACGGUGCCCAAUUCAGUGAGAGGGGAGCGUGUUUUGCCUGGGGGUGUUCACUGUCAGCCUCCGUCCUGAACAUCAGGUCCUAAGCAGAGCCCCUCUUUUCCUGCUUUGCUCCAUGUUUAGCUGCAUGUGUGUGUUUAUUUUAAUUAUUACUGGG